rnacentral:rRNA from 1 species
GUAGGCUUAAGAGUUAGGUAAAUCCGGCUCUUUUUAAGGCUGAGACACGACGUCGAGCACCUACGGGUGUGAAGUCAUUGAUGCCAUGCUUCCAGGAAAAGCCUCUAAGCUUCAGAUUGUAAGGAAUCGUACCCCAAACCGACACAGGUGGUCGGGUAGAGAAUACCAAGGCGCUUGAGAGAACUCGGGUGAAGGAACUAGGCAAAAUGGUACCGUAACUUCGGGAGAAGGUACGCUCUCGAUGGUGAAGUCCCUCGCGGAUGGAGCUGAC